UACGUAGGGGGCAAGCGUUGUCCGGAAUCAUUGGGCGUAAAGCGCGUGUAGGCGGCUCGAUAAGUCUGCUGUGAAAGUCCAGGGCUCAACCCUGGGAUGCCGGUGGAUACUGUCGAGCUCGAGUCCGGAAGAGGCGAGUGGAAUUCCCGGUGUAGCAGUGAAAUGCGUAGAUAUCUGGAGGAACACCGGUGGCGAAGGCGGCAUCCUGGACCGGUAUUGACGCUGAGGCGCGAAAGCCAGGGGAGCAAAGCGGG
rnacentral:rRNA from 1 species